rnacentral:rRNA from 1 species
UACGGGGGGAGCAAGCGUUGUCCGGAAUUAUUGGGCGUAAAGAGCUCGUAGGCGGUGUGUCGCGUCGGCCGUGAAAACCUGCAGCUUAACUGUGGGCUUGCGGUCGAUACGGGCAUCACUGGAGUUCGGCAGGGGAGACUGGAAUUCCUGGUGUAGCGGUGAAAUGCGCAGAUAGUCAGGAGGAACACCGGUGGCGAAGGCGGGUCUCUGGGCCGAUGACUGACGCUGAGGAGCGAAAGCGUGGGAGCGAACAGG